GACGAACGCUGGCGGCGUGCUUAACACAUGCAAGUCGAACGGUAAGGCCCUUCGGGGUACACGAGUGGCGAACGGGUGAGUAACACGUGGGUGAUCUGCCCUGCACUUCGGGAUAAGCCUGGGAAACUGGGUCUAAUACCGGAUAGGACCACUGCCUGCAUGGGUGGUGGUGGAAAGCUUUUGCGGUGUGGGAUGGGCUCGCGGCCUAUCAGCUUGUUGGUGGGGUGAUGGCCUACCAAGGAGACGACGGGUAGCCGGCCUGAGGGGGUGACCGGCCAACAUGCGAGUGAGAUACGGCCCAGUGGCCUACGGGAGGCAGAAGUGGGGAAUAUUGCACAACGCGCGCAAGCCUAAUGCAGCGACGCCGCGUGAGGGAUGACGGCCUUCGGGUUGUAAGCCUCUUUCAGCACCGACGAAGCGCAAGUGACGGUAGGUGCAGAAGAAGGACCGGCAAACUACGUGCCAGCAGCCGCCGGAA
rnacentral:rRNA from 1 species